AUAAACAUUUGUCCAAAAUGCAGUCCCCUCGUAAUAGAAAAUCCCAGACUCGUACCAAUUAUAAGUAAACACCAAUUAAGUAACGUUUAUGCCAUCAAAGGGUCUUUUGUAAAAACAAAAAACUGCUCGUUUGUGAGAAAUUGAACAAUGGACGGCGUAUUUGACGCUCUCACGAGCACAUUGCUGUGUUGUGGGUGAACAGAUUUUCCCAAAGUACAAGAAAAUAUUAAAUUCGUACUUAAAAAUAUGUAGUAAAAAAACUAAAUAUACAGCGAAUUUUGAUAAAUUGGUGAAUAUAAUGUGUGAAUACACAUGUUGCGUGAAUGAUCACAUGAAGAUCAUGACCUCCGCAAACUGUCACAAAUUGGGCAUAGGUCAUAGGUUGGUAAUACCUCCACCCAUGUCAAAAGGCAUUCGGCAGUCGGCCUUUUAAGAAUUGAGAUCGAACUAAAGACUAUCAAUAUAUGAGCCCGUAAGGUAAUAAGGCCAAUUGGUGGACUGGAAAUCAUCUUUAUGAGAAAAUGUAGGAUCUACCUUUUAUUACGGUAUUAAUAUAAUAAAUAGUCUAAGCAAUUGUCGUUACUAAAUUAUUCCAAAUGUAAUAAAACUGUGUCCGCUAAAGAAUUACAACGUUGUCCCGGUUUUAUUCUUUCAGCCAUAUUGGCUCGGAAUGAAAUUUUUCAAACGUCACAUCGGGUUUGAUAAAUACCAGGAACUCCAUUAGGGAUGGCAAAAAUAUUUAAAACUUUUUGUUACUUUAACUUUUUGGUUUGUUGUAACUAUCAUGGUCCAUUGUUGUUAGCGUCUUGUUUGUUGUU